rnacentral:rRNA from 1 species
AGCAGUAGCCGCGGGAAAACGUAGGGUGCAAGCGUUAAUCGGAAUUACUGGGCGUAAAGCGUGCGCAGGCGGUUUGUUAAGACAGAUGUGAAAUCCCCGGGCUCAACCUGGGAACUGCAUUUGUGACUGGCAGGCUAGAGUAUGGCAGAGGGGGGUGGAAUUCCGCGUGUAGCAGUGAAAUGCGUAGAUAUGCGGAGGAACACCGAUGGCGAAGGCAGCCCCCUGGGCCAAUACUGACGCCCAUGCACGAAAGCGUGGGGAGCAAACAGGAUUAGAUACCCGAGUAGUCCCUGUCUCUUAUAC